CAGUCGCCGCGGUAAUACGAAGGGGGCUAGCGUUGUUCGGAAUCACUGGGCGUAAAGCGUACGUAGGCGGCUUUGUAAGUUAGAGGUGAAAGCCCGGAGCUCAACUCCGGAAUUGCCUUUAAGACUGCAUCGCUUGAAUCGUGGAGAGGUGAGUGGAAUUCCGAGUGUAGAGGUGAGAUUCGUAGAUAUUCGCAAGAACACCAGUGGCGAAGGCGACUCACUGGCCCGAUACUGACGCUGAGGUGCGAAAGCGUGGGGAGCAAACAGGAUUAGAUACCCCUGUAGUCCCUGUCUCUUAUAA
rnacentral:rRNA from 1 species